UGUUGCUAACAUUUUCUCUGACGACAGCAAGAGUAAGAGAGCAAGACUUGUUGGAUGUUUGCCAAGGAUAAUUUUUGUACCUCAUAUUUUCAAGAAUAUAUGGGUAGAUUUAAUGAUAUGUCCUUUAGAGGCGCCUUUUGAGAUACAAUGCAUGGUUCUAUCUUUUGUGCAUUGACCCUAUUUGACGGUAAUUAAUUUUGAUUCUGUUCUAAAUGGCAAGGUCUGGUAGACUUGCAGCCUGAAGGUGUGGAGGUACCUUACAGCCUUGUUGACAAGGGCAUGCAAAGGCAAGAUCAAGAUUAUGCCAGACCAUAAAGUUAUUUGGCUGAAUCCUCUUAUAUGAAGCAAGUGCACUGUGCAGAUUACAUAUACGUUUUGGACAUGGAGCCACAUUCAUUGCCAAUAAGAUCAUUUUCUGCAUGCACUAUCGGCGAUCGAAGAGGCAUACGUUGAGUUUGGGUGCCCAGGAGACGGCAACGUUGGUGUCCAUGUGUCCUGCUGCAGGUGUUGCCGCUUCUGAAGCGAUGGAGAGGAGCAACGGAUGAUAGCUUGGGGAUACUUGAUAGCUAAGAUCACGUGUGCACAGAUGAACUGCAAAUGACAAUCAAUUAGGAAGUUUGGACAUUUGCUGCAAGCUGUUAGCCAUCCUGGCCCGAAGCACCAGGUACA